AGAGCGAACGCUGGCGGCGUGGAUUAGGCAUGCAAGUCGAGCGAGAACUGAGGAAGCUUGCUUCCGAGGGGACAGCGGCGAAAGGGAGAGUAACGCGUGGAUUACCUACCUUCAGGACCGGGAUAGCUGCGGGAAACUGCAGGUAAUACCGGAUAAUAUCUCAGGAUCAAAUGGUGAGAUUCCGCCUGGAGAUGGGUCCGCGUCCUAUUAGCUUGUUGGUAGGGUAAUGGCCUACCAAGGCAAUGAUGGGUACCGGGUGUGAGAGCAUGACCCGGCUCACUGGGACUGAGACACUGCCCAGACACCUACGGGUGGCUGCAGUCGAGAAUCUUCCACAAUGGACGCAAGUCUGAUGGAGCGACGCCGCGUGCGGGAUGAAGGCCUUCGGGUUGUAAACCGCUGUCAGUUGGGAGGAAAUCUAUGGGGGUUCUCCCCCAUAGUUGACCUAUCUUCAGAGGAAGGGCGGGCUAAGUUCGUGCCAGCAGCCGCGGUAAGACGAACCGCCCAAACGUUAUUCGGAAUCACUGGGCUUAAAGGGUGCGUAGGCGGCUUGGCAAGUUGGGUGUGAAAUCCCUCGGCUCAACCGAGGAAUUGCGCUCAAAACUGCCAGGCUAGAGGGAGAUAGAGGUGAGCGGAACUUAUGGUGGAGCGGUGAAAUGCGUUGAUAUCAUAAGGAACACCUGUGGCGAAAGCGGCUCACUGGAUCUUUUCUGACGCUGAGGCACGAAAGCUAGGGUAGCGAACGGGAUUAGAUACCCCGGUAGUCCUAGCUGUAAACGAUGAGCACUGGGUUGGAGAGUCCUCCAUAGCUUUCCGGCCGAAGCGAAAGUGUUAAGUGCUCCGCCUGGGGAGUAUGGUCGCAAGGCAA
rnacentral:rRNA from 1 species